CGUCGCCACUAGGUAGGUAGGCAGCUCGCUGUGUUUUGAGACGGAGCCGGUGUGUGAGUGUGUGCUGUACUGCUGCAGUGAAGUAAAAUAUGUCAGUUAUCACCGGACAGCAGCGAGAGCCGGCUACAAAUGUACUCUGAGAGACAACCGGUGCAGCGAUUUUCUGUUUAAUUCUACAGAAAUGAGGCCCGGCUUCUCCAUAUCCACAGCGGCGGCACAAUAAUAAGGUACGUUAAGUCCCGCAGGCUUUUAGGAUGUUUCAUUAAACCUGUUCGGAUUUCCAGCAUCGGUCAUCCCACAGUUCACACGAACUACACCGGUGUCAUUCACUGCACCUUUCUGAACGUUUUCUCGGCCACCUGCUCGCUGUUUAACGGACUGUUAUCACCUAAACAGGCGAAGGAGGAAGUCAACGCUGCCUUCUCCAUCGCGCACUUCAUCCCUUAAUUACGAACGAACUUAAGUUUGAGCAAUUGCGAUGUUUCACCUGCCUAUAUCAUUGUAUGUUUUCAUAUACGGGAGCAACAGGGAACUUUAUUCAAUGUUUGUCACUAUAAUGAGGAGCUUAAAGUCCGUGCAGGUAUAAAUCAGACUGUGUUGUUGUGUCUGCGCAGGCGACGCAGCGCUGCAGGGCUCGGUUGUCAUGGAGGCCUGCGCUGCUGCUGUCACGACUGCGGUUUAUUCAGUCUCACACGAAAAACCCUCAGAUUUACAUAUCCCUAACAAUUCGUUUGAACGUCAACAUACACGAGGUGCUAAAUCAAGUCAAUAAACAACCUUUAGCGCUGGCUUCUCACUUCUUCCAUCUCAGUCACCUAAUAUGUACUGUAUACAGUACGGUUAAGCGUAUAUAAAUAUGAUACGUGCCCUUUAAGAGGUCGUUCCGGGAUAGUCUGGAUGGGUCAAUAUUUACUACGCUGACUCUGUCCUCAUAUUUCAGACCGCUAAGCUGAAGCCCCAGAUCAAAGACACUUAAAGCUUACUUGAUUAAAACUGGGGAUUUGGAGUUCAGUGUGGCAGAUCAGAUCCACUCGCAGGUUUCACUUGCCCACAUCUCAGUCUUGACUCUCAAAAUAAGACGUGUAAUUAUGGUAGCUUAAAUGUUGGUUCGUCAUUAUUCUUCAUGUCGGAAUCAAAGAAGUCUUUCUGUGUCAGUCUUUGUCAGCAUCACUGUGGCUUGGUGCUGUUAUGUGACAAACCCUCUGUAUUAAGGCUCAGAAGUUUUUAAUCUCUUGGUGCUGACCCAUAUGGGUCGGGGACAUACUUGUGGUCCUGCCGGGGGAACAAACUCAAAAGGAUAAGCUCUUGGACUGCUUCAUAAUCACUUGAAGUAUAAAGUAUAUAACAGGCCCGAUUGCGGAGCGGGACUGGGUGGUCCUGAUCCACCUAAACAUGAGCGUGGCCCUCACUGAGAUAUGUUUUACAGCUGGAGCCAGACCAUAUCAAACUAGCAUGGUAGAGUGAAAGUAUUAUUUUAGUAUUAUUUAUACACUUAUAAUAGUAUUUAUUAAUAUUUUGUAAUUAUUAAUUUACUUUUCAGUUUUAAUAAAAAUGUUAGUGGUCUUAGUUUUGUGUUUAAAUACUCUAUUUACCUCUAUUUUAAUUUUAGUCUUGAGUAAUUUAAUUAAUUUGAAAAGCAUUUUAUUUCAAUGAAUUGCAAAGGCAGCCUUUUUUUCAUUUCAAUUUUCCAUUUAAUAUUUAAUUUAAUAAUUUUUUUUAAUUAAAUUAAAUUUCCAAUAACAGAAAAUAUUUAUUAGUUAACAAAAUUAAUUAGUUAACAAUAACAAUGCAGAAUUAUUGGUAGCGCUACAGUACUUUUCAAUCCUUUAAAAAUAUAUAUUUAUUAUAUUUUAAUCACUUAAUAAUGCUAGGGAAGAUUUUAUGGGUAGUUCUAGACAGCAUAUACAUGUAUGUAUAAAUUAAUACACAUAUAUAUGUAUAUAUUUAUAUAUAAUAUAUGAAACACAAACUUUCAUUUUGAAAUAGAAUAAUCACAAUUAAUCAAUUUUUAGCCCUAUUUAAUGUCUACAAUUUUGCUUAUUUCUCUCUACCCCCCACCUACACACAUAUUAUUAUUAUUAUUACUACAUAUAAUGUUAUGUUAGUAUUGACACCUGCCACUGAAAAACCCAGUCAACCAAUAAUUAUGAGUCUGUUAUUAUUUAGCCACUCGUUAUUACUAAAAGCUUUUAACUACUAUUGUUUAGCAUUUUGUUCCAUUUGUGCCUCAUUAACACUGAUGAGUGAAACUCAGUAUGAAUUGUCCGUCUCAUGCUGAAGAAUUUAAUGAAACGAGUUCUGCCUCCAUCUGAAACAUGAUCAUCUUUUAGAAGCCCUUUGGAGUCUCCUCAGCAGCUCUGCUCGUACCUCAGGAGAAGAAUGAAGGCUGUGUGCGAGCUGGAGCCAAGGUGAUAUCUAGAGUAACUGAGCUGUGUGUGCUAUUGAUCCAUUGCCAUUUAUAUUUGUGCAGAGUGGAUUGAACUCAUGGCAAGAGACCAGAGCUCUCAUCAGUCACCUUUAGAAAUAGUGUCAAUAAGAAUGCAUCAGAGCCGGUCAUUCCAGUGCGUCAAAAGAGGAAUUUACAGUAUAUUGUCCCUGCAAUUGAUAUGGCUUUGUUCUUUUGGCAGGUUUGUGAACGAUACUGAAAAAAGAAGGACAGUGGGAAUAACAAACAAAAAAAAUUUAUACUGUAGCCUUUUUUAUGUCUGAAAUUCCUGUAGAACUCAAAUGGGCUCGCCGAAAAAUGCAAAAUGUUUUUAUGCCAUUAUUUAUGUUCCAUGGAACACAAAAGGAGAUAUUUUGUAAAAUGUUCAAGCUGUCCUUCUGUGUCUUCUUAAAGGAAUUAGCAUUAUUUAUAUCCUGUUAUAGUAGGGAUGGUAAGAUUCACCGAUUCGCAUCAGCAUAAACGUUAACGUUGUGAUGUAUUGAUUUUAAAAAGUGUACAUCAAAUACACGUUGGCAUUUGUAUCGCAAUGCUUCAUCUUAAACUUAUUUGCAUUGGUAAAAAACGAUUUAUGUCUAAUUAUUAGUAGAUGCACUAUACUCUUAUUGUUUAGAAAAUUGUGACCAAUAUUUUAUAUGUAAAUUGAUUGACUCUUUGUGAAUAUGUGUUCCCUAAUCUAAAGUGUUACCAAAUGUAAUUUUAUUUUGUUUUAUUUUUUAAAUGAUUUUUAAUCAUUUUAGUUAACAGUAACCACACUAAAAGGAAUGCUUUGGGUUUUGGAUGCGCUAUACAGUGCAUAUAUGAACUUCCUUUUUAUGUCCUCACUACAAGACAAAUUCAAAUUUUUAUCAUCCACUGUCACAUAAACAAGCACUUUCACUUGUCUUUCUGCUUUGAAGCUGCUCUGUGCAGCUGAGCUUGCAUGUCUGAGUGGUAUAAUGAUGGCCAGGCUGUCUGCAGUGACUGGUCUGUUCAGGUAGAUGAGGUUUGACAGGAGGCGAUCAAUAGCAAUGCUGACUGCAAGGCCAGUAAACAGUUUAGUACAUGAGUACCACAUUAGCAUUGGCAGCAACGCUGAGAAGAACUGCUCUCUUUGGACCCUGACAGUGUGGAGUGUGGACAGUGAGACUGUCAGACAGCAGAGGUGUGAAUUAUAGAGUGACUUGAGUUCCCAUGAUGCCCUUGGAGCAAGACACUUAACCUCCAUGUGUUCCCGGAUGACUGUCCCUACAAUUAGCCGACUCUAAGCAGCUUUGGCUGAGAAAAAAACAUCUGCAAAAUGGCAAGUAACCAAAGUGUAAUUGAUAGGCCAUAAUGAGAUCACAUUCUCCUCUAAUUCAGUUUCACACACAUCUUCAGCAGCAACUGAAUAUCAAAACAGUCAUAAUUGCCUUAGAAUUGACCGGCCUCUAUACUUUCAUUGUGAUGUUGGUUGUACACAGAUGAGCUGUUUUAGGACUUUAAGCCCUUCAGAAGCCCUCUGACACAUGAUUCUCUUUAAGAUGUGUGUGUGAGGUGUGUGUGUGUGUGUGUAUGUGUAUGAACUUGGAUUUACAGCAGAAGACAGUUGAAAGUGUUGAUGGCUCAUGUAAAUUGGCUCAGUUAUUUUUCUCUCGUGUCUGAAAGUGACCCCUGUUCAUGAAUCCAGCUCAUAUGCUCCUUGAGAUUAUAUCCUGGCAUUUAUUAAAAGUACAUUGUAGAUGCUGUUACUGUGUGUUUUCAUGCAACAUUUUUAUUUUGUUGACUAUGUUUGGAAUAGUAUACUACUCUAAUAAUUUCUGCAAAUAUAAAAAGACCUACUGUUGAAAGGCUAGGUCCUGAUAUGAUUUCUGAUAUGAAGUCUCUUACACUCAACAAAGUAUUAUUUUGUUCAAAAAUACAAUAAAAACAGUAAAAUGAUGCGAUUACAAGUUUUCCUUCCUCUUUGGAGUGUAACAAGCUGUUCAUGAAUAAAUAAGAUCCCUAAUGUUGCAAAGACUAAAGUCUCAAACCCAAAAGAGAUAUUUUUUAUAAAAGUUAAGACUCCACACCCUACUAAAACGCCUCCUUUAAACACACCCCCACACGACUAUGUCAUGAUGGGGGAAGAUUUGCAUAACGGCAAGCAGAGGUGAGCAAAUCAUAGACUGAAGACCAAGAUGAAAUGAAAUAAUCUUCUCAAUUUUUAAUAGCCUUAUAGUUUUUUAUUGUUUGUAAUGUGAUCAACAUUUGCAUAAGUACUAGUAGACAUGUUAGGGAACACGUAACAUUUUAAUUAUAUUUUGAUAAAAAUGAACGAAAUGAAUGAAAUGACUCGAAAAAAGAUUGGUUCAUUUUGCUGAAUGAUAAUAAAAGUUCAGCGUCUGUGAAAUUAUCAGAACUUCCCAUCACUAGUGAAAACUGAAUGUGUGUCAGUAUUGCCUGCCUUCCGUCCUAAAGGGACAGCAUUCCUACCUAUCCGUGUAAUUAUAAUGUUAACCAAAAAAAGAUGUUAAGUAAAUAUUUACAUAUUUUACAUAUUUUGCAAAAUGGGAUAAAAAAAAAUGUAUUUAUCCAAAAAGUCACAAUUUUGCCAAAUGACAUACCAUUUGCAUUAAAACAACCAAAUUUAACUGCAAAUGACCAAAAAUGUCCGUAAUGCAGCACAAGGGUAAAGUAAACCUGCUGUAUCUGAAAAAUUAGUUUGUUUCAUAUUUGUCUUAUUGUCUUAUCCUGCUUCUUUAAAAAAAAUAUAUGAAUUAUAUAUAUGAAAUAUAUUAUAUAUGAAAGUUGCUCCCUUUUCAGUACUGUUAAAAAUGGAUAGUUCACCCAAAAAUGAAAAUUGUCUUAAUUUAUUCAAAUUUUUCCAAAUUCAAUCCUUGAUUCAAAUUGAUCAUUAGCGUAAUUGAUUUGGUCUAAAGAGAGAAGAAUUAAUGACUAUUUUUGUUUUAAGACAUAGAAAAUAACUACCAAAAUAAAUAUUGGUAACUGCAGCUUAAAGGUACAAUUUGUAAGAUAUUUGCUGUAAAAUAUCCAAAAACCACUAGGCUAGUGGUAUAUAUUUUGUCCAGCUGAUUACUAACAAUAUCCAUAAGGUUUUUAACUACUUGUAAAUCAUGAGAAAAUUCUCAUUCUAAACAGUGACACAGGGCAGUGCAGUCGCCUGUCAAUGACAUUAGUUCUUCUUCUUCUUCUUCUUUUUAGUUUUAUGGCAGAUUGCAACCAUGGCUUAUCAGGUGCAUACCGCCACCUACUGUAUCAGAUGUAGAAACCACAAUACAAACAGUAUUGUGGACAAAUGCGGACGUAGCUUCGCGACAAACUUCAACUAGAAAGAGAUGCCGAUCUCGCUUGUGUAUUACUCGACAUGUGAGUUGUUUUGAUUCGUAUCUUUACAGUAAAACAUAUGCUAUUAUAACGAUCAACAAGAUUAGUAUAAUGGGGCAUACACGACAAAACUCGGGGGAUCGCGUCUAUAGACCCGUGCGAGGAUGCAUCUGAUCCAGUCUGAUCGCGUCUUUGCAUUGACUUUGUAUGUAAUCUACUCGCGCAAAUUGUUGAACUCGCGUUAAAUCCAUAAUUUAUGUUUCCAUCUGAUUUGAUGGCUGUCAGCGGUUGGGUAGAAGACAAAAAAUCCCAUCACUCUAUGCUCCUUUUUAGCGGCAUCAAACCACACAAUUGUUAUUGUUUUGAUAGUGCACCCUCUAGUGGCAGGUCUUACAAACUGUACCUUUAACUAAAAGUAAUGACUAAAAUUUUACAAAAAAUUCAAUUACUUUUUGUAGAUUAAAACUAGACUAAAACUAUAUAAGACUCAUAUGACUAAAAUGUGACUAUUAAGACUAUUAAGCAUUUUUGUCUCAAGAUAAAGACUAAGACUAAAAAUAAAACCCAGCCAUGUCAAAAUUAACGCUGGACCAAUCACAAUGCACUGGCCAAUCAGAGCAUACCUUGCUUUUCAGAUCGAUGAGUUUUCAAUAAAAAUUAUGCAUUUAAGAAAGUUGGAGCAUAGAGGAGAAACAGUAAUGUACAUUAUAUGUAAAAUGGGUAUUUUGAACCUUAAACUGCAUAAACACAAUGCAUUACACCAAAUACACAAAAUAAAGUUAUUUUUAGCAACAUCAAAUG